rnacentral:lncRNA from 1 species
GGGUCAGGCGGGCCCAGCCGAGGUGCCCCCGAGAAGCACCCCCCAGGCCCAGCCACCGUGGGUCAGAGGAGUCAUCUGGAAAGAGGGGAGAGAAGCAGYGUGCGUUGUGGUUGUGGAUCAGUCCCGCUCGGCUCUCCCUGAAGUAGUUUGAUUGGAGAUGAAGCAUGAGAAGGCCGCAAAGUGGUGUGAGCAGUUCCAGAUGUCRACUUUCACUAGGAGCAGUGGAUGCUGCGGUGAAAGGGUACAGGGUUUUCUGAAGAAACAGGUGAUAUAGUCCUGAAGCAGACUGACCACUUUGAUGGCAAUAAAGACAAACUAAUACUUCUUCAGGGCCUUCUAAAACCAUCUCAGGCGCAGAACAAAUCAAAAUCUCAUAUUAAGAUUUUUUUUCAUUGUGGGGAAUCAUGUUGGUUAUUGCAGAUACUACUUAUGCAACAUUUAAAAAAAAUGGCACUGUACUUUACUCUGAGCAUCCYUAUCUUUAAAACAAGCAGGGAAUAAAAUCAUUAGAGCAACUAUCUCUGGUUCUUAAGUGAUUCAGAUAUAUUUUAUCUCCUUUAUGUACUAAUCAGUGGCUUGUUUUCUCAGCACUUCUCUCACUGGUCAGUAAUAGUUUUCUUAUCAUUACUCUAUCUGAUAAUCUGAUUUUCUUGGUUCCGAUUAGAAAUAAUUCCUUCUUUGUUCUUUUCUGCAUGACUGUGUAUUCCCAGAAAUUCUGAGAAAAUGAUUUUUUUUCCUUAUUAGUCAUACUGUUUCAACAAAUGUACUUACUUUCCUCGCUUAUAUGUAUAAGAACUAUUGUGUUUCUGUAGAUUGCGCAGUUGGGCUUAAUCAGCAGGAAGUCGGUGAGGUCAAAAUGAAAAUAUAUCUGUUAGGUUUAAGGAUUAAAGAUGAUAUGGAGAAAUAACAUUGCUUACAAAGAGCAGACUUCAGAGUCGCCAAUGUGGUACUUUUCAUGAACGUUAUAGUCACUUAAACACCGUUUAUACUGAAAAAAAUCCAAGUCACAAUUUAAAGCUGUCAUCUUAACAACAGCUUUGAUCCUAUAUUAAGCUUGAGUAACAGAGUUUUAACUAUUUAAGGAACAACAACAACAACAAAAAAAAACAGGAUAUGAAGAACAGCAGAGGAACACUAUUCAAUAAUUUUCAGAAAAUUCCAGGCUGACAGACUACAAGGAGAAAGCUCUUUAAUUUUCAUUACUGUGAAAUUUAUAUGAACUUGUGUAAUCUGGAUAAUCUCCAUUGAUAUGAGCUGAAUGCUAGAGAAUUGCAUCAAGUAAUAAAUUAUUAAUUAACUGACA